rnacentral:rRNA from 1 species
AGCUAGUAAUGGCAGGUCAGCAUACUGCCGUGAAUACGUUCCCGGGCCUUGUACACACCGCCCGUCACACCAUGAGAGUUGGGAAUACCCGAAGCCUGUGAGCUAACUUUAUGAGGCAGCAGUCGAAGGUAGAAUCAAUGAUUGGGGUGAAGUCGUAACAAGGUAGC